GACGAACGCUGGCGGCGUGCUUAACACAUGCAAGUCGAACGGAAAGGCCCUGCUGUUGUGGGGUGCUCGAGUGGCGAACGGGUGAGUAACACGUGAGUAACCUGCCCUUGACUGUGGGAUAACUUCAGGAAACUGGGGCUAAUACCGGAUAGGAGCUCCUGCUGCAUGGUGGGGGUUGGAAAGUUUCGGCGGUUGGGGAUGGACUCGCGGCUUAUCAGCUUGUUGGUGGGGUAGUGGCUUACCAAGGCUUUGACGGGUAGCCGGCCUGAGAGGGUGACCGGCCACAUUGGGACUGAGAAACGGCCCAGACUGCUACGGGAGGCAGCGGUGGGAAAUAGUGCGCAAUGGGCGGAAGCCUGGUGCAGCGACGCCGCGUGCGGGAUGACGGCCGUCGGGGUGUAAACCGUUUUCGCGUGUGACGAAGCGUGAGUGACGGUAAUGGGUAAAGAAGCACCGGCUAACUACGUG
rnacentral:rRNA from 1 species